ACGACCUGCAUUAAUUCCCCCAAAAUUCACAAAUCCACCAAUUAAGUGUGUGUGUGUGUGUGAGAGAGAGAGAGAGAGACAUUGAGUUGGGCAGUAAGGGGGUCGAAGCCAGUGCCAGCAGAAGCAAAACAGACUCCGGUCUUGAGGUCGUCAACGGAUAAUAGAGUACGCACCCAAAAAGUCGGUGACGAGCUUGCCGUUGGUGAACCUUCCGGUGGCAAUGUGGUCGGGGAGAUCCUUUCCGUAGGGCGGGAAGUUGCUCCGACUAAUAGUUUGAAUGUAGUUGUUGUUGCCGGAAUCAACUGUAGAGUCACCGAAAACAAAAACUGCAGGGAUUGAACUGUUAUUCUCACCCAACCUUCGCGUUUCUGCACUCUGCAAUGUCAAAACCGCAAGGAAAAGCAUAGAAACACAACCGGAGGGAGACAUGCUGCUUUUGGGAAUUCCCUGCAGUUUCUGUCUAUAUGUAUAAUUCUAAAUAACUGUUUUCUUUUUUGAAAAAAAUGGAAAUAUAUGGCCCAGAAGAUGGGAGGCUUUCUUGGAA